rnacentral:rRNA from 1 species
AUUGAACGCUGGCGGCAGGCCUAACACAUGCAAGUCGAACGGUAACAGGAAACAGCUUGCUGUUUCGCUGACGAGUGGCGGACGGGUGAGUAAUGUCUGGGAAACUGCCUGAUGGAGGGGGAUAACUACUGGAAACGGUAGCUAAUACCGCAUAACGUCGCAAGACCAAAGAGGGGGACCUUCGGGCCUCUUGCCAUCCGAUGUGCCCAGCUGGGAUUAGCUAGUAGGUGGGGUAACGGCUCACCUAGGCGACGAUCGCUAGCUGGUCUGAGAGGAUGACCAGCCACACUGGAACUGAGACACGGACCAGACUCCUACGAGAGGCAGCAGUGGGGAAUAUUGCACAAUGGGCGCAAGCCUGAUGCAGCCAUGCCGCGUGUAUGAAGAAGGCCUUCGGGGUGUAAAGUACUUUCAGCGGGGAUGAAGGGAGUAAAGUUAAUACCUUUGCUGAUUGACGGUACCCGCAGAAGAAGCACCGGCUAACUCCGUG